rnacentral:rRNA from 1 species
AACGAACGCUGGCGGCAUGCCUAACACAUGCAAGUCGAACGAGACCUUCGGGUCUAGUGGCGCACGGGUGCGUAACGCGUGGGAACCUGCCCUUAGGUUCGGAAUAACUCCCCGAAAGGGGUGCUAAUACCGGAUAAUGUCUUCGGACCAAAGAUUUAUCGCCUUUGGAUGGGCCCGCGUUGGAUUAGCUAGUUGGUAGGGUAAAAGCCUACCAAGGCGACGAUCCAUAGCUGGUCUGAGAGGAUGAUCAGCCACACUGGGACUGAGACACGGCCCAGACUCCUACGGGGGGCAGCAGGGGGGAAUAUUGGACAAGGGGCGAAAGCCUGACCCACCAAGGCCGCGUGAGUGAUGAAGGCUUUAGGGUUGAAAAGCUCUUUUACCCGGGAUGAUAAUAACAGUCCCGGGAGAAAAAGCCCCGCCUACCCCCGU